UGUGGAUAUAGCUCAGUUGGUAGAAUGCUUUCCUUGCAGGCACAAGGCCCUGGGUUCAAUUCCCAGUGCCACAA
rnacentral:tRNA from 1 species